AACGAACGCUGGCGGCAUGCCUAACACAUGCAAGUCGAACGAGCCCUUCGGGUCUAUUUUCGCCCGGCUUCGUCACGCGUGGGAACCUUCCCUUAUGUUCAGCCUACCUCUCCGACAGGGGUGCUAAUACCGAAUCAUGUCUUCGACCCAAAGAUUUAUCGCCAUUGGUUGGGCCCUCGUUGGAUUAGCUUGUUCGGAGGGUAAAAGCCUACCAAGGCGACGAUCCAUAGCUGGUCUGAGAGAAUGGUCAGCAACACUGAGAAUAAGACACGGCCCAGACUCCUACGAGAGGCAGCAGUGGGUAAUAGUGGAAAAGGGGAGAAAGGCUGAUCCAGCAAGGACGGGUAAAUGAUGUAGGCAGUAGGGAUGAAAAGCUCUUUUAACCGGGAUGAUAAUGACAGUACCGGGAGAAUAAGCAACGGCUAACUACGUG
rnacentral:rRNA from 1 species